AUACCGGGAUCCCCAGCCCAGCACCUCACCGGCCUCCAGCCUCCCUCUCUGCUCCUCUGCUCUGCAGCCCUGCUGAGACCCCAGCCCCCUCCAGCCAUGAGGAUCCUCCACCUGGUGUUUGCUGUUCUCCUGCUGGUCUCCUUGGCUGCUCCAGGCUAUGGGCAGAAGAAGGCCUGUCGUGGCAACUGCACCAAGUCCAAAUGUGCCAAAUACGAGACGCAGGUGUACGGCACCUAUAACUGCAAAUACAACUGCUGCGUCCCUCCCAAAAAGACAAAAUGAGCCCAGAGGGAUCCACCCGUCCUGGACCAGGAGCAGCCGCCGCAGCGGGUCCCCGACUCCCCACAGAAAUGUUGCUCCCUCGUCCCAUUAAAUAAGAGCAGCUCUGGC